rnacentral:rRNA from 1 species
AUACGGGGGGAGCAAGCGUUGUCCGGAAUCAUAGGGCGUAAAGGGCACGUAGGCGGUUUCUUAAGUCGAAUGUGAAAUCUCACGGCUCAACCGUGAAACUGCGUUCGAAACUAAGUGACUUGAGUUUGGGAGAGGUGUACGGAAUUCCUGGUGUAGCGGUGGAAUGCGUAGAUAUCAGGAAGAACACCAAUGGCGAAGGCAGUACACUGGCCUGAAACUGACGCUGAGGUGCGAAAGCGUGGGGAGCAAACAGGAUUAGAAACCCGAGUAGUCC